rnacentral:rRNA from 1 species
UACAGAGGUCCCAAGCGUUGUUCGGAUUCAUUGGGCGUAAAGGGUGCGUAGGUGGCGCCGUAAGUCAGGUGUGAAAUUUCGGAGCUUAACUCCGAAACUGCAUUUGAUACUGCGGUGCUUGAGGACUGGAGAGGAGACUGGAAUUCUCGGUGUAGCGGUGAAAUGCGUAGAUAUCGAGAGGAACACCUGCGGCGAAGGCGGGUUGCUGGGCUGACACUGACGCUGACGCGCGAAAGCCAGGGGAGCGAACGGG